UGGUUCUAUGGUGUAGUGGUUAGCACUAUGGACUGAAUCCAGCGACCUGGGUUCGACUCCCGGUAGAAACUU
rnacentral:tRNA from 1 species